UAGCUCUCAAUUUGGUCACAUUUUUUCUAGUUUUUUUCGAUUCUCGCAAAAAUGUUGAUGCAAGCUGGAAAACAAAAUAAGAAGCCAAAGAAAUGGAUUACAGCAACAUGCUUUUGGAGGAAAAACGCUCAUACUACCAAUGUGGCAAUGACUAUGUGACUUUAGAUCAAGUACAACCAUGGCCAGAUUAUUUUUCGGAGAAUCAUUGUUCUUUUACCAUGAGAGGUAUUAUUAAAUAAAUGUUAUUUUGUACCAUUAAAACCUUA